rnacentral:misc_RNA from 1 species
UACACUCACUAGACCCACCCGAGCCCCCAGUACUCCUGAUUACCCUUCCUUUCCUUUUCUGUAGCAGUCAUCACAGUUUAACAUACUACUUAGCCAUUGCUUUUUUCAUCUGUCUCCCACCCUACUAAAAUGUAAGCUCCAUGAAAAAAAGAGAUUCUUGCCUGUUGUAGUGACUGAUUCAAUUCCAGUACCUAAACCGGUGCCUACAUAUGACUGAUAGUCAAAUAGUUAUUAUAAAUAAACAUUAACUGUUGGCUAUGUUUUAAUAUAAUGUACACAUAUAAUUUUAGAUGAUUUAACCAAGUAAAUAAGAAGAAAAUACACUAUAAAUUAUUGAACCAUACCCACACAGUAGAUUGUUCCAGCAUAUUUGCCACAAUAAACAAUGCUACCAAAAACCUUUUGUACAAAUAUCUACAUAUAGUACUACUUCUUCUAUCCGUUUGAGUCACAAAAGGUUAUGUGAAUAUACGUUUUAAAAUGUUAACAGGUAUUGCCAGACUAUCAGGAGAGACCAUAAAUCAGAUAAAAACAUGAGUUGUAUCCAAAACUCAACCAGGUAUCAUCUUAAAUAUCCAACAGAAUUC